CGCGCUCUCUCUGGCAGCGGAAGGUCGCAGCGUUACUUCCGGUGCCGUUUCUGUUUGUUCGGUAAAAACUACACUGUUCUCAGUGGCGAGUGAUGGGGUUUUAAAAAUGUAAGGCAAAGUUCCCACAGUGAAUGACAACAACUGCAGUCUGCUUCACGCUCUGUGCUGUGAGGAGCAGGACACACAGCGAUAGAGCAGCAUUUCUAUUGGCUGCAGUCUGCAGGUGGGUUUAUCCCAAUUAAAGUGCCCAAAUGACCUUGGUCACGACUGGUUGCUUACUGGCUCAUCUUGACGCUCAACCAGCCGCAAAUGAGAUGGUCUGACGUGUCAUCUCCCUCUCAUUCCAAGGAAUUAUUUUUCGCCGCUCAUGUUUUACGCCUUUAAUAAAAUAUGCCAAGCCGCAAACUUUAACGAAUUUGUGCUGAGUCUUUCAUGUUUUAUCUGUAAUAAUUUUCUCUCUUUUUUUUUUUUUUUUUGGAUUUAAUUGAAUAAAGAUUGUUUGUACUUUUGUGUGGGUAUGUCUAGAGAAAGUCUCAUGUAAUGUAUUACUUUUUGUGGCUUUAUUAUAAUUGAAUAAAUAUAUAAUUUUUGUACUUUUGUAAAAUAAAAUUUUGUCAAGUGCAUUUGUACUGAUAUUUUUCGCACGCUAUUCGUCACAAUUUAUUUCUGUCUUAAAACAAGGCUGUUAUAUUUUAUUUGUAAACAGUUUUUUUCUUGAUUUUAUUUGUAAAUAGUCAUUUUUGUAAAAUACUGAUAAUGUCUGUGCUCCGUGAUUUUACAAUUUUAAGUUGUCUUUCUUUUAUUUAAUUAUUAAAAAGCAUUGCAGUUUGUCCUGUUGUCACUGAAAUUACUUUAUGAGAAAGAUUAAUGUUAUUGCCAAUAUAGACACACGUCCUCUUCCAGGCAGUUUCCUAACAUUUUAUGUUGAUUGGAAAUUCUUAAUUAUUGCCCUGAUGAAGAAAAUGGGAAUUUUCACUGCUCCAGCUCUUUUCUUAAAGCCACUUCACUAAUUUGUGAAGCUCAAUUAUCUUUUGCUGCACAUCAGAAGUAUAUUCUUUGGUUUUCUCAUUGUGAUGAUGAUUAAGGGAAUUUGGGCUUUGUUUUCCCUCCUAUUUUUAUUUCUGUGAAACAGGAAGCCAUGGCUGGAUAAUUUGAUGUUCAUAAUCACCAUGGAGUGCUCAAAAUUGUUAAUAUGAAUGGGAAUAUAAAUCUGUGUUGCAAAGCCAAGGCACUUAAACAUUAAAAAUAAGUCACAGGUGACCGCAUGCGUUGCGGCUAAUAUGCUAAUAUGCCUUCAUCAGGGUGUGGAAAGCAAA